rnacentral:SRP_RNA from 2 species
GCCGGGUGCGGUGACUCACACCUGUAAUCCCAGCACUUUGGGAGGCUGAGGUGGGUGGAUCACCUGAGGUCAGGAGUUCGAGACUAGCCUGACCAACAUGGAGAAACCCCGUCUCUA